rnacentral:rRNA from 1 species
UACGGGGGGGGCAAGCGUUGUUCGGAAUUACUGGGCGUAAAGGGCUUGUAGGCGGCCAACUAAGUCAGACGUGAAAUCCCUCGGCUUAACCGGGGAACUGCGUCUGAUACUGGAUGGCUUGAGUUCGGGAGAGGGAUGCGGAAUUCCAGGUGUAGCGGUGAAAUGCGUAGAUAUCUGGAGGAACACCGGUGGCGAAGGCGGCAUCCUGGACCAAUUCUGACGCUGAGGAGCGAAAGCCAGGGGAGCAAACGGG